GACGAACGCUGGCGGCGUGCCUAAUACGUGCAAGUAGAACGCACAGUUUAUACCGUAGCUUGCUACACCAUAGACUGUGAGUUGCGAACGGGUGAGUAACGCGUAGGUAACCUGCCUGGUAGCGGGGGAUAACUAUUGGAAACGAUAGCUAAUACCGCAUAAUAUUGAUUAUUGCAUGAUAAUUGAUUGAAAGAUGCUAUUGCAUCACUACCAGAUGGACCUGCGUUGUAUUAGCUAGUAGGUGAGGUAACGGCUCACCUAGGCGACGAUACAUAGCCGACCGGGGAGGGUGAUGGGCCACAGGGGGACGGAGACACGGCCAAGACCCCUGGGGGAGGAAGCAGGAGGGAAUCUUGGGAAAUGGACGAAAGUCGGACCGAGAAACGCCGGGGGAGGGAAGAGGGUUUUGGGAUCGUAAAGCUCUGUUGAAAGAGAAGAAGGGGGGGGAGAGGGAAAAGUUCACCCUGGGCGGGUAUCUUACAAGAAGGGGACGGCUAACUAGGGG
rnacentral:rRNA from 1 species